UACGGAGGGUGCAAGCGUUAAUCGGAAUUACUGGGCGUAAAGCGUGCGCAGGCGGUUUGUUAAGUCCGCUGUGAAAUCCCCGAGCUCAACUUGGGAAUUGCAGUGGAUACUGGCAAGCUGGAGUAUGGUAGAGGAAGGUGGAAUUCCCGGUGUAGCAGUGAAAUGCGUAGAUAUCGGGAGGAACACCUGUGGCGAAAGCGGCGCACUGGACCAUAACUGACGCUGAGGCGCGAAAGCUAGGGGAGCAAACAGG
rnacentral:rRNA from 1 species